UACGGAGGGUGCAAACGCUAACCGGAAUCACUGGGUUUAAAGGGUGCGUAGGCGGCUAAAUAAGUCAGAGGUGAAAGCUUGCAGCUUAACUGCGAAAUUGCCGUUCAUACUGUAUAGCUUGAAAGGAGCUGAGGUCAGCAGAAUGUUGCAUGUAACGGUGAAAUGCAUAGAUAUACCAUAGAAUACCACUUGAGAAGUCAGUUGGAUGGGCUUACUUAGACGUUGAGGCACGAAAGCGUGGGGAUCGAACAGG
rnacentral:rRNA from 1 species